GACGAACGCUGGCGGCGUGCUUAACACAUGCAAGUCGAACGGAAAGGCCCUUCUUUUGUGGGGUGCUCGAGUGGCGAACGGGUGAGUAACACGUGAGUAACCUGCCCUUGACUUUGGGAUAACUUCAGGAAACUGGGUCUAAUACCGGAUAGGAGCUCCUGCUGCAUGGUUGGGGUUUUAAAGUUUCGGCGGUUGGGGAUGGACUCGCGUCUUAUCAGCUUGUUGGUGGGGUAGUGGCUUACCAAGGCUUUGACGGGUAGCCGGCCUGAGAGGGUGACCGGCCACAUUGGGACUGAGAUACGGCCCAGAGUCCUACGGGAGGCAGCAGUGGGGAAUAUUGCAAAAUGGGCGGAAGCAGGAUGCAGCAACGCCGCGUGCGGGAUGACGGCCUUCGGGUUGUAAACCGCUUUCGCCUGUGACGAAGCGUGAGUGACGGUAAUGGGUAAAGAAGCACCGGCUAACUACGUG
rnacentral:rRNA from 1 species